rnacentral:rRNA from 1 species
GGGUCAGUAGGUUCGUCGUGCCACCGGUACGUACUGGUCUCACUGAUUCCUCCUUCCUGAAGAACCGUAAUGCCAUUAAUUUGGUGUUGCGGGGAAACAGGACUGUUACUUUGAAAAGAUUAGAGUGUUUAAAGCAAGCUAACGCUUGAAUACAUUAGCAUGGAAUAAUGAAAUAGGACGAUCGAUCCUAUUUUGUUGGUUUCUAGGAUUGACGUA